rnacentral:rRNA from 1 species
AUUGAACGCUGGCGGAAUGCUUUACACAUGCAAGUCGAACGGUAGAGGGGGCAACCCCUCGAGAGUGGCGAACGGGUGAGUAAUAUAUCGGAACGUGCCCAGUCGUGGGGGAUAACGUAGCGAAAAUUACGCUAAUACCGCAUACGAUCUAAGGAUGAAAGCGGGGAUCGCAAGACCUAGCGCGAUUGGAGCGGCCGAUAUCAGAUUAGGUAGUUGGUGGGGUAAAGGCUCACCAGGCCAACGAUCUGUAGCUGGUCUGAGAGGACGGCCCGCCACACAGGAACGGAGACACGGUCCAGACUCCUACGUGAGGCAGCAGUGGGGAAUUUUGGACAAUGGACGCAAGUCUGAUCCAGCCAUUCCGCGGGCAGGAUGAAGGCCCUCGGGUUGUAAACUGCUUUUGUACGGAACGAAAAGGUCUCUCUUAAUACGGGGGGCUCAUGACGGUACCGUAAGAAUAAGCACCGGCUAACUACGUGCCAGCAGCCGCGGUAA